AGGACGAACGCUGGCGGCGCGCUUAAUACAUGCAAGUCGAACGAGAAGCCAGAGCUUGCUCUGGUGGAAAGUGGCGAACGGGUGAGUAACACGUGAGAAACCUGCCCCAAAGAUUGGGAUAAGCCUUGGAAACGAGGUCUAAUACCAAAUACCUUCCUUUAACACAUGUUAAAAAGAAGAAAUGCUCCGGCGCUUUGGGAUGGUCUCGCGAUCUAUCAGCUUGUUGGUGAGGUAACGGCUCACCAAGGCAUCGACGGAUAGCUGGUCUGAGAGGAUGUCCAGCCACAUUGGAACUGAGACACGGUCCAAACUCCUACGGGAGGCAGCAGUAGGGAAUCUUGCACAAUGAGGGAAACCUUGAUGCAGCGACGCCGCGUGCGGGACGAAGGGCCUAGGGUUGUAAACCGCUUUCAGUAGGGACGAAAGUGACGGUACCUACAGAAGAAGCCCCGGCCAACUAUGUG
rnacentral:rRNA from 1 species